rnacentral:rRNA from 1 species
UGCUUACCAAAAUUGGCUCACUAGAUACUCAGAUUAGUCGCCGAAGCUUCAGCAUUCAAGCAAGCUCGGCAUCUCACCCAUUUAAAGUUUGAGAAUAGGUUGAGGACGUAUCGUCCCCAAGACCUCUAAUCAUUCGCUUUACCGGAUGAAACUCCUCCAUUUCCGCGAGUACCAGCUAUCCUGAGGGAAAACUUCGGAGGGAACCAGCUACUAGAUGGUUCGAUUAGUCUUUCGCCCCUAUACCCAGCUCUGACAAUCGAUUUGCACGUCAGAAUUGCUACGGACCUCCACCAGAGUUUCCUCUGGCUUCACCCUGGCCAGGCAUAGUUCACCAUCUUUCGGGUCCCAACAUGUCUGCUCUUG